AGAAUCAACGCUGGCGGCGUGCCUCAGACAUGCAAGUCGAACGAUUAAACUUUCCUUCGGGAAAGAUAUAAAGUGGCGCACGGGUGAGUAACACGUAAGUAAUCUACCUUUGAGUGGGGAAUAACAGUCGGAAACGGCUGCUAAUACCGCAUAAUGCAGCGGCAUCGCAAGAUGACAGUUGUUAAAGGAGCAAUCCGCUUAAAGAGGAGCUUGCGGCAGAUUAGCUAGUUGGUAAGGUAAUGGCUUACAAGGCUACGAU
rnacentral:rRNA from 1 species